UACGAAGGGAGCGAGCGUUGUUCGGAAUCACUGGGCGUAAAGCGUGCGUAGGCGGUUUUGUAAGUCAGAAGUGAAAGCCUGGGGCUCAACCUCAGAAUUGCUUUUGAGACUGCAAAGCUAGAGUAUUGGAGAGGUUAGUGGAAUUCCGAGUGUAGAGGUGAAAUUCGCAGAUAUUCGGAGGAACACCAGUGGCGAAGGCGACUAACUGGACAAUUACUGACGCUGAGGCACGAAAGCGUGGGGAUCAAACAGG
rnacentral:rRNA from 1 species